rnacentral:misc_RNA from 1 species
ACACUAGCUACGGGCCAAGACGAGACACUGUCGUCGUACCCAAUGCAUAUUCCGCAUCCGAGAGCUCAAGCGAGCGUUCAUGGGCCAAACAACUACAAUCGCAAUUCCAGUUACGUGGGACACAAACGGCGCUUCGAGGUUCACCGCGUCAAAAGCCUGUAACUAAACGGGCAGAAGGCGAGUGAAUGAUAUACACGAUUUGGCAACACAAUUCCGUAUAGUAGGAAUGCAACACAGGAAAUCGAAAAUAGGCGACCAAGGCAAGGUGCUCUUGUACCAACCAAAUGAA